UUGUAAGUUACUAAGAGCACAUGGUGGAUGCCUAGGCUCUCAGAGGCUAUGAAGGACGUAAUAGGCUGCGAUAAGCCACGAGUAGGUGCCUAUAACCUUUUAUUCGUGGAUUUCCGAAUGGGGCAACCCAUCCAAUUUAUUGGAUCAUUUGGCUAACCCGCUGAACUGAAACAUCUAAGUAAGCGGAGGAAGAGAAAAUAAUAAUGAUUCCCCUAGUAGUGGCGAGCGAAGAGGGAACAGCCCAAACCAGUCGUGUCUAGGCAUGGCUGGGGUUGUAGGAUCAGCAUCACGGAAAAGUAAGGACAGUAGAAUCAUUUGGAAAAAUGAACCAUAGAGGGUGAGAGUCCCGUACACGAAGUCUUGAUCGUUCCAGCUGACACCUGAGUAGGGCGGAGC
rnacentral:rRNA from 1 species